rnacentral:lncRNA from 1 species
AAAGUCAUUAACACAAUCACCAAUAGAGUAGAGGCAAUCGGUCAAUUCCUGAAUCUUAGACAUAUAAGCAUCUAUAGAGAGAGAUCUCCCUUUUUAAUAGUACGUAAUUGAUGCUUGUGCUAAAUUUGCUGUGGAUUGAUGGAGAAAGUGAUCUUUUAAUGUGCUUCAAGCAUCUGCAAUAAUUUGUUGCCUGAAUCCAAGUAAGAAGUGAUCUUUUAUUCUCUUCUCUUUUUUAAUUCAAAAAUUAUUUUUUUCUAGAAACCACCCUACCACCGCUACCCUGCCACUAUUUCACCACAUUUUUGUCAUUGCAGCCUCGCAAGAAUCAAGCUACCACUAAAGUACGUUCAAUUUCAUAGAAUUGCGUCACAAAUCUUCCCCCUCCACUUACAUCUAAUUUUCUUUUAUUUUGCUUCUCCCAUUAUAAUAUAUUCUCUACAAAAAAUCUUUCUUUCUCUGAUCUUCUCCACCGUCCAGCUGCGUUAAUGGCUACUCUUCGUUCUCAUUUACUCAUUCUACCACAACUUCACCAUGCUAUAGAAGGUCAUUGUUACAUCAUACUCCAACAUAAAUGAAAGGCGAAAUAUAUAAACUGUCCCUUUAAGUUAUCUACAAUAAUCAGACAAACUGAAUCAUUUAUUAUUUAAGCACUGCAAGUAUCCAUUAACCAGAUCAAAUAAACACAUAUUGCUGAUGUGUCACAUGCAUGUUUGUUACCAAAAUUUUGAGCAUAUGAAUCAUUUUUCCAACCUAAUUUUUUUUACAAAAAAUUAAGAAUCAUGCAUAUCGGCUUGACUAACCCAAGUCAACGUCACCAUGAAACCACCAUGAAAAUUAGCCACCAAAACUCCAACAAGCCACCAAAAAUUCCAGAAAAUGUCCCUUCCAUCACAAAAUUCCACUGCUCGUAACCUCUAGAUCUCCGCCUAAUCCCUUCGAGCCAAAACUAAUUCCAAAGCCAACUGAUAAGAAUCAACAAUAGCUGCGGAAUACCACCAAAUAUCCACUCAAUAAACCUCCUCUUUCCUCUAACAACACCUUCAUUCCAAUAGAAACACACAAAUGGCAAUCAAUUAUUUGAAUCAACUGGUAAUUUUAAGGAUAAUUUUAUACCAAAACUAAUUAGAGAAGUUAAAGUGGUAUAAGCCAAAACUCAUAGUUAAGAAAAUGAUGAACAGAGAAGAGUAAAAUUUCCAGUAGAAUCAUUUCGUUCAUAUUUGCUCGGAGAUUAAUUUUCCGAUGAGAAAAGUCGUAUAAGAGGAGCUUUCUCCGACGAGUUCCGUCAAUGAUCAGUUAGUGGGAAAGGGAAGGGGUCUAAUAGGAACGACUUAUGUUUAACUUGUUGGAUGGAGGCUGGAUUUGAAGGAAGAAGAUGAAGGGGGUGGGGGGUGGCGCUGGUAUUAGGAGGAAGAAGAAGAUGAAUUUAGUUGGGAGAGCGGGGGAGGAGAGGUUGCGCUGGUUUGGUAAAAAAUUUAGGAAAAAGGCUUUUUUUGUUCUUUAAAUGCUUUUUUAAAAUUUUGAUUACAAAUUAUACGUGUUAUUUAUUAAUUGGCUCAUUUGACACGUCAUUAACGAGUAUAAUUCACGUAUAUGAUCUGUUGCACUUGCGUAUUUAUUUGAUCUGGUUAAUGGAAACUUGGAGUGCCUAAAUGAUAAAUGAUUCAAUUAAGGUGUUUCUCUGAUCGUAAUGAACAACUUAAAAGUGACGUUUAUGUAUUUUUCCUAAACGAAAAUUGUGCACAAUUCACACGACACUACACAGAAAAUUCCCCUUUUUUUUAUUCACAAUCAUCAGUACCUUACAAAAUUUUCAUUCUCAAUAUAGUACACACUCUAAUUUCACACACACACUAAAAGUUAAUACACUCAUAAAGAUAUCCAUUACUUUUGGAAGAGACCUAGUUCAUAAUUUUGGGCUCUCUUCAUCCCCAGCGCUGCCUCUAUUACACCGUCAAAAUCAACUUUCACAACAACGUUUCUUUCAUAUUUUAUUAGCCAAAGCAUAGAUCUAACAGAUUAGAAGAAAAAUUGAGAAGAAUGGAAGAAAGAAAAAAAAAUUAAAAAUAAAAAAUAAAAAGCAGAAGAGGCAAAAUUUGAAAGAAGUGAGUUUACGAGGAAAGAACGAUGGAGGACUAAGGAUUUCGACGGGACCGGAGAGGGGCUGGGAGAUCCCUUUUUUCAAAAUAGAUUUCCUUUUUCUUUAGCUAGAAUCCCCUUUAGACAAGGUGGGUUGCUCUGAUAGUAACCAGCCUCCACUUUCAACCAAGAGGUUGUGAGUUUGAGUCAUCCUAAGAGCAAGAUAGGUAAUUUUUGGAGGAAAGGAUGAUGAGGGUCUAUUUAGAAAC